rnacentral:rRNA from 1 species
CCUACGGGAGGCAGCAGUGGGGAAUCUUGCGCAAUGGGGGAAACCCUGACGCAGCAACGCCGCGUGGGUGAUGAAGGCCUUCGGGUCGUAAAGCCCUGUCAGGUGGGAAGAAACUUGUGGAUGUCAACACCAUCCAUGCUUGACGGUACCACCGGAGGAAGCACCGGCUAACUCCGUGCCAGCAGCCGCGGUAAUACGGAGGGUGCAAGCGUUGUUCGGAAUUAUUGGGCGUAAAGCGCGUGUAGGUGGUCGUGUAAGUCAGAUGUGAAAGCCUUCUGCUUAACAGAAGAAGUGCAUUUGAAACUGCUCGGCUAGAGUACGGGAGAGGAGAGUGGAAUUCCCGGUGUAGAGGUGAAAUUCGUAGAUAUCGGGAGGAACACCAGUGGCGAAGGCGGCUCUCUGGUCCGAUACUGACGCUGAGACGCGAAAGCGUGGGGAGCAAACAGGAUUAGAUACCCUGGUAGUCCACGCCGUAAACGAUGGGCACUAGGUGUAGGAGGUAUUGACCCCUUGCUGUGCCGAAGCUAACGCAUUAAGUGCCCCGCCUGGGGAGUACGGCCGCAAGGCUAAAACUCAAAGGAAUUGACGG